rnacentral:rRNA from 1 species
UACGAAGGGGGCUAGCGUUGCUCGGAAUCACUGGGCGUAAAGGGUGCGUAGGCGGGUUUUUAAGUCAGGGGUGAAAUCCUGGAGCUCAACUCCAGAACUGCCUUUGAUACUGAAGAUCUUGAGUCCGGGAGAGGUGAGUGGAACUGCGAGUGUAGAGGUGAAAUGCGUAGAUAUCUGGAGGAACACCGGUGGCGAAAGCGGCUCACUGGACCGUGUCUGACGCUGAGGUGCGAAAGCUAGGGUAGCGAACGGG